GUGCCAUUAACUCAGUGGUAGAGUAACCGACUUUUAAUCGGUGGGUCGCGGGUUCGAAUCCCGCAUGGCGCACCA
rnacentral:tRNA from 1 species